AUACGUAGGGGGCGAGCGUUGUCCGGAAUGAUUGGGCGUAAAGGGCGCGUAGGCGGCGCGGUAAGUCUGGAGUGAAAGUCCUGCUUUCAAGGUGGGAAUUGCUUUGGAUACUGCCGCGCUUGAGUGCAGGAGAGGUUAUCGGAAUUCCCGGUGUAGCGGUGAAAUGCGUAGAGAUCGGGAGGAACACCAGUGGCGAAGGCGGGUAACUGGACUGCAACUGACGUUGAGGCGCGAAAGUGUGGGGAGCAAACAGGAUUAGAUACCCUGGUAGUCCACACUGUAAACGAUGAAUGCUAGGUGUAAGAGGUAUCGACCCCUUUUGUGCCGGAGUCAACACAAUAAGCAUUCCGCCUGGGGAGUACGGCCGCAAGGUUGAAACUCAAAGGAAUUGACGGGG
rnacentral:rRNA from 1 species